UAUGUCAUUGCAGCAAUUGGGAGGGAUUAAUGCCAUUUUGUAUUAUUGCAGUUCCAUAUUUGAAGCAGCUAAUUUUUCAAGUAAAGUGGGGACUAUCUCCAUGGCUAUUAUUCAGAUUCCGGUUGUUCUUGU